UCGCAUCUGUGCAUGCAGCAUAUCAAUAAGCGGAGGAAAAGAAACUAACAAGGAUUCCCUUAGUAACGGCGAGUGAAGCGGGAAGAGCUCAAAUUUGAAAUCUUCAAGGUUUUACCUUGACGAAUUGUAGUUUAAAGAAGUGUUUUCUGUUGAAGUUUUGGUAAAAGUUCUUUGGAAUAGGACAUCAUAGAGGGUGAGAAUCCCGUAUUUGACCAUUAUUUUCAGCUGUGUGAUACACUUUCAAAGAGUCGGAUUGUUUGGGAAUGCAGUCCAAAAUGGGUGGUAAAUUUCAUCUAAAGCUAAAUAUUGGCGAGAGACCGAUAGCGAACAAGUACCGUGAGGGAAAGAUGAAAAGAACUUUGAAAAGAGAGUUAAACAGUACGUGAAAUUGUCAAAAGGGAAGCGUUUGACACCAGUGUUGUUUUCUCGAAAAUCAAUUAAAAAGAGUUGGAUUUUGUGUUGUAUUGACCUUAACAGCUUGCUUCACUCUUUUCCAGCUUUUUUUAAUGCACUUUUCGUUUAACAAGUCAACAUCAGUUUCUUUUGUUGUAAAAGGGUCAUUGGAAGGUGGCUUUCUCUUCGGAGAAAGUGUUUAUAGCCUUUGAUCUCUGCAAUCGGAGAGACUGAGGUCUGCAGCGUAGAUCCUUCGGGGUUAGAUACAUUUGUGCUAAGCUACAGCUUUUCAUAGACAACUUGUUGACUAUGUUUAGUCUUGUGACUUACCCGCUUAUGCUAUUUUACCUACGCUUAGGAUGUUGAUAUGCAUGACUGAUAU
rnacentral:rRNA from 1 species